rnacentral:misc_RNA from 1 species
UGGUUCUGGCAUCGAUGAAGAACGCAGCGAAAUGCGAUAAGUAAUGUGAAUUGCAGAAUUCAGUGAAUCAUCGAAUCUUUGAACGCACAUUGCGCCCUUUGGUAUUCCGAGGGGCAUGCCUGUUCGAGCGUCAUUUAACUCCUCAAGCUUUGCUUGGUAUUGGGUACUGGUUUGUAAUUAGACCUACCCAUAACUCGUUGGCAGUAGGUACCAUCUCUAGGCGUAGCAAAAAUAUUCGUCUUGUGAGAUUUGGUUAUUUGCUCGUCAAAAGAACUAUCACAUCUCAAAAGUUUGACCUCGGAUCAGGUAGGGAUACCCGCUGA